GAUGAAGAACGCAGCGAAAUGCGAUACGUAAUGUGAAUUGCAAAUUCAGUGAAUCAUCGAGUCUUUGAACGCACAUUGCGCCCCCUGGUAUUCCGGGGGGCAUGCCUGUCCGAGCGUCAUUGCUCCCCUCAAGCACGGCUUGUGUGUUGGGCCCCGUCCUCCGAUCCCGGGGGACGGGCCCGAAAGGCAGCGGCGGCACCGCGUCCGGUCCUCGAGCGUAUGGGGCUUUGUCACCCGCUCUGUAGGCCCGGCCGGCGCUUGCCGAUCAACCCAAAUUUUUAUCCAGGUUGACCUCGGAUCAGGUAGGGAUACCCGCUGAACUUAAGCAUAUCAAUAAGCGGAGG
rnacentral:misc_RNA from 1 species